AUACGGAAGGUCCGGGCGUUAUCCGGAUUUAUUGGGUUUAAAGGGAGCGCAGGCGGAGAUGCAAGCGUGACGUCAAAUUUCGGGGCUCAACCCCGUCUCGCGUCGCGAACUGCGUCCCUUGGUUGCGGGAAGGGGAGGCGGAACUCGUGGUGUAGCGGUGAAAUGCAUAGAUAUCACGAAGAACUCCGAUCGCGAAGGCAGCCUUCCGGCCCGUCAACGACGCUCAUGCUCGAAGGUGCGGGUAUCAAACAGGAAUAGAUACCCUGGUAGUCCGCACAGUAAACGAUGGACACCCGCGGUUUGGCCUGUAUGGCUGAGCCGCCAAGCGAAAGCGUUAAGUGUCCCACCUGGGGAGUACGCCGGCAACGGUGAAACUCAAAUGAAUUGACGGGG
rnacentral:rRNA from 1 species